rnacentral:rRNA from 1 species
GUAAGGAAUAUUGGUCAAUGGACGAAAGUCUGAACCAACCAUGCCGCGUGAAGGAUGAAGGCCCUCUGGGUUGUAAACUUCUUUUAUCUGGGACGAAAAAAGGGUAUUCUUACUCACUUGACGGUACCAGAGGAAUAAGCACCGGCUAACUCCGUGCCAGCAGCCGCGGUAAUACGGAGGGUGCAAGCGUUAUCCGGAUUCACUGGGUUUAAAGGGUGCGUAGGUGGGUAUUUAAGUCAGUGGUGAAAUCUCCGAGCUUAACUCGGAAACUGCCAUUGAUACUAUUUACCUUGAAUGCCCUGGAGGUAAGCGUAAUAUGUCAUGUAGCGGUGAAAUGCUUAGAUAUGACAUAGAACACCAAUUGCGAAGGCAGCUUACUACGGGGUGAUUGACACUGAGGCACGAAAGCGUGGGGAGCAAACAGGAUUAGAUACCCGUGUAGUCC